UAACUGACGCUGAUGCUCGAAAGCGUGGGUAUCGAACAGGAUUAGAUACCCUGGUAGUCCACGCGGUAAACGAUGGAUGCUCGCUGUUUGCCAUAUAUGGUAAGUGGCCAAGCGAAAGCAUUAAGCAUCCCACCUGGGGAGUACGCCGGCAACGGUGAAACUCAAAGGAAUUGACGGGGGCCCGCACAAGCGGAGGAACAUGUGGUUUAAUUCGAUGAUACGCGAGGAACCUUACCCGGGCUUGAACUGCCAGCGGACGAUUCGGAGAUGAUGAGGCCCUUCGGGGCGCUGGUGGAGGUGCUGCAUGGUUGUCGUCAGCUCGUGCCGUGAGGUGUCGGCUUAAGUGCCAUAACGAGCGCAACCCUUUUCCCCGGUUGCCAUCAGGUAGUGCUGGGCACUCCGUGGAUACUGCCACCGCAAGGUGUGAGGAAGGUGGGGAUGACGUCAAAUCAGCACGGCCCUUACGUCCGGGGCUACACACGUGUUACAAUGGCGCGUACAGAGAGCCGGUCCCUGGCAACAGGGGUCAAAUCCUUAAAACGCGUCGUAGUUCGGAUUGGGGUCUGCAACCCGACCCCAUGAAGCUGGAUUCGCUAGAAU
rnacentral:rRNA from 1 species